CUUGCUGCCAUGCACAUUUUGUCCAAUCAGAAGCCUGAAAAAAGCAGCAAUAGCUGACUUGUUGGCAUUACACCUCUAUUAUGUUUAUUUUGAUCGACUUUAGACGUACACAGAGCCCUGGGAACUUUUUUUAAAGAGCGAAUGCACGCCUGUGCUGCUGAAACCUAACACUCAUAGAAUUAUAACGUGUUCAGCAACAUGGUGAUGUAUUACAUGUGCAGUGAAAGAUCAGUACUCACUCCAAGAAAGAGGCUAUACCAUGUUUUUUUUUUAGGUGCUUGGUCGAUUUUUACCGUAUACUCCAUCUACAAAAAUGGAAGCAAGACACAACAAUCAAGGAGGACUUGGACAAGGCACUUUUCAAGCACAUCAUACCAAAAAUAAAAUGACAUAAAACACAUUGGCUGAUCAUUUAAAAACAAAGUAUUUUUUGUAACCUGUACACAAUGAUAAA